AAAGAAACGACUUUGAUUUAUUGUAUAUCAGAGUGGUUUACAGAGAUAGUUUAAUACGUCCUGUUUAAAAUAGUGGGUAGAAAAAAGAAAGAAAGGAAAACAACAGUGAUUAGAAUAUUUCAGUAUAAAUAAAUGUCUGCAAAGUAGAACUAGUACUGCGUCUUCUGUACUCGAAGUGUGAUUCUCCAAAUCUCAACACAACAAGAUGGCAAGGAAAACGGUCAGAAAAUUUAACAAAAAGCAUGAGCGUAACUUAAGGAUGCAUACACAAUUUAGGCCAUUUACCAACUUUGCUGUACGACUGGUGAAACAGGUACAUACCCUCUCUGGGGUUAUCAAAAUGCUGAAGGAGAGAAACCUAACCAAUCAAGCACAAGAGAGUUGUGAUCAAAUACAAAAUCUCAUCAAUGUUCGUGGUAAUCUUAAACAACUGAUAAUCGACGUAAAUCGUCGUCUUCAUAUAUUUCGCAGCCAAAAGCGUAAGCAUAAAAAUGCUUCUAUUGUUGUUUUUUUAAUCAAACGGAUAUAAAUGUUCUUGAACAUGCAUACAUAUUUUAUAUUACUUGUUUUUGUAGUACUACAUUGAAGAUUUACGUAACUAUAGAUAUAAUUUCCAUUUUAUGUGAGUGUUUCCGAAACAUUUUCAUACAAAAAUAAAACACAGCUUGUAUCAAUUAUUUAUCAG